rnacentral:misc_RNA from 1 species
AUGAGUUUGCGCGGCCGUUGCUGGUUUUUACAAGUGCACGCCGCGUCUUUCUUAAUCCACCCCUUUGUGCAUCCGGGCGCGUCUUUUGGACGUGGUCCCAACCUUUAUACUAUAAAACCGUCUUGUACGAGUAGAACGUGCCGAAACAAUCUAAUA